rnacentral:lncRNA from 1 species
GAUUUUAAUGGAUUUGUUUUUCCUUUCUCUAGCGGAAGCGACUUUGGAAUGCAGAAUGCACGCCAUUCCCAGAUGAGACACCCCUGCAUCUGAAAAAGACAAAUGUCAGGACAUCAGUGUCUGCUACUUCGAUUUCCAAUGCCUGGCUUAGGUGUGGGGAUGGUUUUGAGAGCACUUCACUGCUGGAGUCCCAGAGGCCUUCUAAUAAGAAAUCCAGGAGUAAGAAGCGUCUUGGACCACUAUUAACAUCUGCUGAAAGUGCAUCUAGAGCUGCUGCUGCUGAAAGUGCUAAGGAAGCUGAAGACAUAAUAUGGACCUCUAGUGGCAGUGAUUUUUCAGAUGAUGGAGAUAAAACAUUGAUUCCAAGGUUGCACAGCAAAAAAAGUGGCACUUCCAAUACAGAGGAAUGGYCUAGCAGACAUGAUUUAUUGUUAGAGGACAGAAGUAGUGAAGGUAAGUUCAAGUGAAACAUUUAACAAGAAACCUUCUGUCAAUUUCAGGUGCUGUAAUGAAAAUAGUCUUGAGGUCAUUCUGA